rnacentral:misc_RNA from 1 species
CCGCAAUAGGGAUCGCAACGGAAAUCCCGCAGCCUCGACUCGUCUUGCAAAGGCGGGGCGAGGCGAGGAAUUGGAGAGAAGAGCCCGACCGACC